AGGGUUCGAUUCUGGCUCAGGAUGAACGCUGGCGGCGUGCUUAACACAUGCAAGUCGAACGAAGCAAUACUGUGUGAAGAGAUUAGCUUGCUAAGAUCAGAACUUUGUAUUGACUGAGUGGCGGACGGGUGAGUAACGCGUGGGCAACCUGCCUUACACAGGGGGAUAACAGCUAGAAAUGGCUGCUAAUACCGCAUAAGACCUCAGUACCGCAUGGUAGAGGGGUAAAAACUCCGGUGGUGUAAGAUGGGCCCGCGUCUGAUUAGGUAGUUGGUAGGGUAACGGCCUACCAAGCCGACGAUCAGUAGCCGACCUGAGAGGGUGACCGGCCACAUUGGGACUGAGACACGGCCCAA
rnacentral:rRNA from 1 species